UACGAGGGGUCCUAGCGUUGUUCGGAAUCAUUGGGCGUAAAGAGCUCGUAGGUGGCUUAGUAAGUCAGGUGUGAAAGCCCAGGGCUCAACCCUGGAAGUGCACUUGAAACUGACAUAGCUUGAGUACGGUAGAGGUGAGUGGAAUUCCUGGUGUAGUGGUAAAAUACGUAGAUAUCAGGAGGAACAUCGGUGGCGAAGGCGGCUCACUGGACCGAGUACUGACACUGAGGAGCGAAAGCAUGGGGAUCAAACAGG
rnacentral:rRNA from 1 species